rnacentral:rRNA from 1 species
UUCCCCCUACGGGGCGCAGCAGUGGGGAAUAUUGCACAAUGGGGGAAACCCUGAUGCAGCAACGCCGCGUGAGUGAAGAAGUAUCUCGGUAUGUAAAGCUCUAUCAGCAGGGAAGAAAAUGACGGUACCUGACUAAGAAGCCCCGGCUAACUACGUGCCAGCAGCCGCGGUAAUACGUAGGGGGCAAGCGUUAUCCGGAUUUACUGGGUGUAAAGGGAGCGUAGACGGCAGUGCAAGUCUGAAGUGAAAGGCGGGGGCCCAACCCCCGGACUGCUUUGGAAACUGUGCUGCUGG